GCCCGUCAACCACGAAAGUUGGUCUCCCGACUCGGUGAGCUACCCGCGGGGAGGCAGCCGCCUACGGUAGGGCUAAUGAUUGGGGUGAAGUCGUAACAAGGUAAUUUUCUCCAGAAAAUGAUUGGAGCCUUGUCCAAUCUGCGGGACCGCGAUGAAGCCGAGUAGAUCCUGCUUUAUUCAUGUUCUGGAGACACUUGGUUGUCGGGGGCCUCAUCCGCCUGAACUUUUUCCUUUUUGUACCCACGUUGUCCAGCUAUUCCGGUUUUUACUUAUACAGGGAGCUCACCUUCAACAAUCUUGGUCUUGAGGCUGACUGACGGAUUGGCUCUAAAAAUCUGAUCCUGAACAGGAUCUGACAUCAGAAGGGAAGAACCCUGCGAAGAUUAAUACGCUUC
rnacentral:rRNA from 1 species